CUCUCUCUCUCUCUCUCUCCAGUGUGUGCGUGUUGGUGUCCAGAGAGAGAGAGAGAGAGAGAGAGUCAGUAAGGUUCAGUCGUUAGGACGGUUACCAUGGCCUUCGUCUCUCCUCCUAAGGUGGUGGUGAUGGCAGUGGUGGUGGCGAUGGUGGUGGUGGUGGUGGUGGGCGUGGCACUGCCGGUUGAGACACUCCCUAACAGGCACUACGACAAAACUAUUAAGCGAUACACGAAUGAGAAAACCUGCUGGUGGAACGAAAUUUGCAAGGAGGAAUUUCAACAAGAGUUCCGAUGCCGGUGCCCAAGGUGGUCAUUCUGCCGCUCACCUGGUCGGUACUACAACGCCUACUGCUCCGUCAUGGCUUCAGGUUAUGUGUGGACCCAGCC